GGAAGGUUUACAAAGUGUCAAUCACCCGAAGGCGGGACCAAUGGGAAGGUUUACAAAGUGUCAAUCACCCUAAGGCAGGACCAAGGGGAGCGUUUACAAAGUGUCCAUCACCCGAAGGAGGGACCAAUGGGAAGGUUUACAAAGUGUCAAUCACCCGAAGGCGGGACCAAUGGGAAGGUUUACAAAGUGUCAAUCACCCUAAGGCAGGACCAAGGGGAGCGUUUACAAAGUGUCCAUCACCCGAAGGAGGGACCAAUGGGAAGGUUUACAAAGUGUCAAUCACCCGAGGGCGGGACCAAUGGGAAGGUUUACAAAGUGUCCAUCAUCUGAAGGCGGGACCAAUGGGAAGGUUUACAAACUGUCCAUCAUCUGAAGGCGGGACCAAUGGGAAGGUUUACAAAGUGUCAAUCAACCGAAGGCGGGACCAAUGGGAAGGUUU
rnacentral:lncRNA from 1 species